rnacentral:rRNA from 1 species
GAUGAACGCUGUCUACAGGCUUAACACAUGCAAGUCGAGGGGAAACGACGGGGAAGCUUGCUUCCCCGGGCGUCGACCGGCGCACGGGUGAGUAACGCGUAUCCAACCUGCCUCUGACUGAGGGAUAACCCGUCGAAAGUCGGCCUAAUACCUCAUGGCAUCGUCUGCGGGCAUCCAACGACGAUUAAAGAUUUCAUCGGUCAGGGAUGGGGAUGCGUCUGAUUAGCUUGUUGGCGGGGUAACGGCCCACCAAGGCUACGAUCAGUAGGGGUUCUGAGAGGAAGGUCCCCCACAUUGGAACUGAGACACGGUCCAAACUCCUACGGGAGGCAGCAGUGAGGAAUAUUGGUCAAUGGGCGGGAGCCUGAACCAGCCAAGUAGCGUGCAGGAUGACGGCCCUAUGGGUGGUAAACUGCUUUUAGGCGGGGAUAAAGUGAGGGACGUGUCCUUCAUUGCAGGUACCGCAUGAAUAAGGACCGGCUAAUUCCGUG